GAUGAACGCUGGCGGCGUGCCUAAUACAUGCAAGUCGAGCGAACAGACGAGGAGCUUGCUCCUCUGACGUUAGCGGCGGACGGGUGAGUAACACGUGGAUAACCUACCUAUAAGACUGGGAUAACUUCGGGAAACCGGAGCUAAUACCGGAUAAUAUAUUGAACCGCAUGGUUCAAUAGUGAAAGACGGUUUUGCUGUCACUUAUAGAUGGAUCCGCGCCGCAUUAGCUAGUUGGUAAGGUAACGGCUUACCAAGGCGACGAUGCGUAUCCGACCUGAGAGGGGGGUCGGCCACACUGGAGCUGAGCCACGGUCCAGACUCCUACGGGAGGCAGCAGUAGGGAAUCUUCCGCAAUGGGCGAAAGCCUUACGGAGCAACGCCGCGUGAGUGAUGAAGGUCUUCGGAUCGUAAAACUCUGUUAUUAGUGAAGAACAAAUGUGUAAGUAACUAUGCACGUCUUGACGGUACCUAAUCAGAAAGCCACGGCUAACUACGUG
rnacentral:rRNA from 1 species